rnacentral:rRNA from 1 species
AUACGAAGGGGGCUAGCGUUGUUCGGAAUUACUGGGCGUAAAGCGCGCGUAGGCGGAUUGGUCAGUUAGGGGUGAAAUCCCAGGGCUUAACCCUGGAACUGCCUCUAAUACUGCCAGUCUUGAGUUCGGGAGAGGUGAGUGGAAUUCCUAGUGUAGAGGUGAAAUUCGUAGAUAUUAGGAAGAACGCCAGUGGCGAAGGCGGCUCACUGGCCCGAUACUGACGCUGAGGCGCGAAAGCGUGGGGAGCAAACAGGAUUAGAAACCCUAGUAGUCC